rnacentral:rRNA from 1 species
GACGAACGCUGGCGGCGUGCUUAACACAUGCAAGUCGAACGGAAAGGCCUCUUUCGGGGGGUACUCGAGUGGCGAACGGGUGAGUAACACGUGAGUAACCUGCCCUUGACUUUGGGAUAACUUCAGGAAACUGGGGCUAAUACCGGAUAGGAGCUCCUGCUGCAUGGUGGGGGUUGGAGAGUUUCGGCGGUUGGGGAUGGACUCGCGGCUUAUCAGCUUGUUGGUGGGGUAGUGGCUUACCAAGGCUUUGACGGGUAGCCGGCCUGAGAGGGUGACCGGCCACAUUGGGACUGAGAUACGGCCCAGACUCCUACGGGAGGCAGCAGUGGGGAAUAUUGCACAAUGGGUGGAAGCCUGAUGCAGCAACGCCGUGUGCGGGAUGACGGCCUUCGGGUUGUAAACCGCUUUCGCUCAUGACGAAGCUUUGUGUGACGGUAGUGGGUAAAGAAGCACCGGCUAACUACGUG